rfam:Fistulina hepatica ATCC 64428 unplaced genomic scaffold FISHEscaffold_68, whole genome shotgun sequence.
GCCCUGCUAGCUCAGUUGGUAGAGCGCAUCACUCGUAAUGAUGAGGUCAGUCGUUCGAAUCGGCUGUGGGGCA